rnacentral:lncRNA from 1 species
UGUAUAUUAUGUUAUAUGAAGAGAGCUCACAUAUAUAUGACCUUUAGGUUCACGAAACCUGAAUCUGCCCGCCCCCCCCUUCUUCCCAGAGGUCACUGCCUUCCAGACAGUCAAUCCUGAAACAUUUUCCUCUUCCUGACUCCCUGUUCCCAUACCCACAGUCUAAAUAUCCCCAAAGCAGGUGGAUGAAAGUGACAGAGGGAAGCAGUGAUGCACCUGGCCAUGUUGGAUCCUUCAGUGCACAGAUUCGGAAGCCAUCAGAGCUAGAUGUAUACUCUGGCAUGACUCCGUUACUGUGCUCAGCACCUGAACCUGUUGUGGAGUAUUUGUUUAACCAGGCAAAGAUGUGUUAACAUCUCUUCGUGCUGCCGUUGUUAACUAUGUAAAGGUGUGUUGCAUUUUCGUUAAUUAAAUAAAAUUAACCUGGACUCAGAGAGGUGGGCUUAGCAAUUGGUUGACAGGAAGUAGCAGGGAGGGGCUUAGCAUGUUGUUUUGUUUUGUUUUGUUUUUUUAAGUUGGGGUGUUGUGGAAGGGAGUGGCUUCUGGGGGCCACAGUGAAGAGAGAAAGCUAGCCAGUUGCUACUCUAGCUCUCUGGGCAUGCAGGUUUUCACCCUUGCCUUUGAAUCUCUCUUAGAGUGAUAGAGAUUUAGUAAAGCUACCUUUAGCAGCAGCAACAGG